UACGGAGGGUGCAAGCAUUAAUCGGAUUUAUUGGGCGUAAAGGGCGCGUAGGCGGGCGUACAAGUCAGAUGUGAAAUCCCGGGGCUCAACCCCGGAACUGCAUUUGAAACUGUACGUCUAGAGGGUAGGCGGAGAAAACGGAAUUCCACAAGUAGCGGUGAAAUGCGUAGAGAUCGGGAGGGACACCAGAGGCGAAAGCGGCGACCUGGACAGAUACUGACACUCAACUGCGAAAGCGUGGGGAGCAAACAGG
rnacentral:rRNA from 1 species